AUGCCCUGCACCGGCAGAUGAAGCUUCUGGGAGAGGACAGCCCGGUCAGCAAACUGCAAGUCAAGCUGGAGCCAGGAGUGAAUCCCAGCCACCUGAUGAACCUGUUCACCUACGAGAAGGGCUACUGCUUCGUGUACUACCUGUCCCAGCUCUGCGGAGACCCACAGCGCUUUGAUGACUUUCUCCGAGUGAGCAGCCCCCUGCCCGGGACGGCCCUGCUGCCAUCUGCCCCCAGCCCCUCCCCGGCUCACAGGGCUGCCUGCUCUUGCGGCAGUUGGGGUGGAACUGGCAGGGGCCUGUGAGCCUGGCUGGGACCUAGUCUGCCUUUCUUUGUGGGGAGUGCCUGGGUUGCCACCUCCCCUUCUGCCACCCUGUUUGGUCCCUUGGCAGGGCCUGCGUGCCAAGUGCUGGCUCCGCAGUGCCCACUAGCUGCCCCUGUGCCCAGCACGUACCUUGGCGCACGCCCUGCAGUGCCCUGCAGGCCUCUGGUGGGGCUGCCUGUGCCCCGCCCUUCCAGGCCUGCUGAGGCCCAACCUCUGCCACACAGGCCUAUGUGGAGAAGUACAAGUUCACCAGCGUGGUGGCCCAGGACCUGCUGGACUCCUUCCUGAGCUUCUUCCCGGAGCUGAAGGAGCAGAGCGUGGACUGCCGGGCAGGGCUAGAAUUCGAGCGCUGGCUCAAUGCCACAGGCCCACCGCUGGCUGAGCCGGACCUGUCUCAGGGAUCCAGCCUGACCCGGCCCGUGGAGGCCCUUUUCCAGCUGUGGACCGCAGAACCUCUGGACCAGGCAGCUGCCUCAGCCAGCGCCAUUGACAUCUCCAAGUGGAGGACCUUCCAGACAGCACUCUUCCUGGACCGGCUCCUGGAUGGGUCCCCGCUGCCGCAGGGUGGUGAUGAGCCUGUCCAAGUGCUACUCCUCCCUGCUGGACUCGAUGAAUGCUGAGAUCCGCAUCCGCUGGCUGCAGAUUGUGGUCCGCAACGACUACUAUCCUGACCUCCACAGG
rnacentral:sRNA from 1 species